rnacentral:rRNA from 1 species
UACGUAGGGGGCAAGCGUUAUCCGGAUUUACUGGGUGUAAAGGGAGCGCAGACGGCAGUGCAAGUCUGGAGUGAAAGCCCGGGGCCCAACCCCGGAACUGCUCUGGAAACUGUGCGGCUAGAGUACUGGAGGGGCAGGCGGAAUUCCUAGUGUAGCGGUGAAAUGCGUAGAUAUUAGGAGGAAUACCAGUGGCGAAGGCGGCCUGCUGGACAGUAACUGACGUUGAGGCUCGAAAGCGUGGGGAGCAAACAGG